rnacentral:rRNA from 1 species
UACGAAGGGGGCUAGCGUUGCUCGGAAUCACUGGGCGUAAAGGGCGCGUCGGCGGCCAUUCAAGUCGGGGGUGAAAGCCUGUGGCUCAACCACAGAAUUGCCUUCGAUACUGUUUGGCUUGAGUUUGGUAGAGGUUGGUGGAACUGCGAGUGUAGAGGUGAAAUUCGUAGAUAUUCGCAAGAACACCAGUGGCGAAGGCGGCCAACUGGACCAAUACUGACGCUGAGGCGCGAAAGCGUGGGGAGCAAACAGG